rnacentral:rRNA from 1 species
UACGUAGGGUGCGAGCGUUGUCCGGAAUUAUUGGGCGUAAAGGGUGCGUAGGUGGUUAUUUAAGUCAGAUGUGAAAUCCCUGGGCUUAACCUAGGAAUGGCAUUUGAUACUGAAUAGCUUGAGUUCGAGAGAGGGAAGUGGAAUUUCCGGUGUAGCGGUGAAAUGCGUAGAUAUCGGAAGGAACAUCAGUGGCGAAGGCGACUUCCUGGCUCGAUACUGACACUGAGGCACGAAAGCGUGGGGAGCAAACAGG